CAGCCGCCGCGGUAAUACGUAGGUGGCAAGCGUUGUCCGGAAUUAUUGGGCGUAAAGGGCUCGCAGGCGGUUUCUUAGGUCUGAUGUGAAAGCCCCCGGCUCAACCGGGGAGGGUCAUUGGAAACUGGGAAACUUGAGUGCAGAAGAGGAGAGUGGAAUUCCACGUGUAGCGGUGAAAUGCGUAGAGAUGUGGAGGAACACCAGUGGCGAAGGCGACUCUCUGGUCUGUAACUGACGCUGAGGAGCGAAAGCGUGGGGAGCGAACAGGAUUAGAUACCCCCGUAGUCCCUGUCUCUUAUCA
rnacentral:rRNA from 1 species